rnacentral:lncRNA from 1 species
AUUACUUGGUGGGGGUUUUAUUCCUGUUAUGAUUCUGUGUUCCGUGUUCCAUGUUUUAUUACGAAUCUGUGUGCUUUCCUCUGCUUUCCUCUGUUUUAUAAUACUUAUGGGUGCCGUAUUUAUGUUAUGUAAUCUGUUUCUGUGCUUUACUAUGUGUUUGUGUGGUAUCUCGUGCCUUGAGCCGGGGGUCUUUCGGAAACAACCUUUCUACUUCAUCAGAGGUAGAGGUAUGGACUGCGUACAUCUUACCCCCCCAGACCCC